rnacentral:rRNA from 1 species
GAUGAACGCUAGCGGCAGGCCUAAUACAUGCAAGUCGAGGGGUAGAGAAGAGCUUGCUUUUCUUGAGGCCGGCGCACGGGUGCGUAACGCGUAUGCAACCUACCUUUAUCAGGGGGAUAGCCUCUCGAAAGAGAGAUUAACACCGCAUAAAAACACAGUACGGCAUCGUACAAUGUUCAAAUAUUUAUAGGAUAAAGAUGGGCAUGCGUGACAUUAGCUAGUUGGUGAGGUAAGGGCUCACCAAGGCGACGAUGUCUAGGGGAUCUGAGAGGAUGACCCCCCACCCUGGUACUGAGACACGGACCAGACUCCUACGGGAGGCAGCAGUAAGGAAUAUUGGUCAAUGGGGGCAACCCUGAACCAGCCAUGCCGCGUGCAGGAAGACGGCCCUACGGGUUGUAAACUGCUUUUAUACGGGAAUAAACCCCUUUACGUGUAAAGGGUUGAAUGUACUGUAAGAAUAAGGAUCGGCUAACUCCGUGCCAGCCGCCGCCGUAAUAC